rnacentral:rRNA from 1 species
UACGUAGGGGGCUAGCGUUGUCCGGAAUCAUUGGGCGUAAAGAGCGUGUAGGCGGCCCGGUAAGUCCGCUGUAAAAGUCAAAGGCUCAACCUUUGAAUGUCAGUGGAUACUGCCAGGCUAGAGUCCGGAAGAGGCGAGUGGAACUCCUGGUGUAGCGGUGGAAUGCGCAGAUAUCAGGAAGAACACCAACGGCGAAGGCAGCUCGCUGGGACGGUACUGACGCUGAGGAGCGAAAGCAUGGGGAGCGAACAGG